rnacentral:rRNA from 1 species
UACGGGGGGAGCAAGCGUUGUUCGGAUUUACUGGGCGUAAAGGGCGCGUAGGCGGCGUGACAAGUCACUUGUGAAAUCUCCGGGCUUAACUCGGAACGGUCAAGUGAUACUGUCGUGCUAGAGUACAGAAGGGGCAACUGGAAUUCCCAGUGUAGCGGUGAAAUGCGUAGAUAUUGGGAGGAACACCGGUGGCGAAGGCGGCUACCUGGACCGGUACUGACGCUGAGGCGCGAAAGCUAGGGUAGCAA